AACGUAGGGGACAAGCGUUAUCCGGAUUUACUGGGCGUAAAGCGCCCGUAGGCGGCUUGAUAAGUUGGACGUGAAAGCUCCCGGCUUAACUGGGAGAGGCCGUUCAAAACUAUCGAGCUAGAGUGAGGCAGAGGAGCGCGGAAUUCCCGGUGUAGUGGUGGAAUGCGUAGAUAUCGGGAGGAACACCAGUGGCGAAAGCGGCGCUCUGGGCCUAAACUGACGCUGAGGGGCGAAAGCGUGGGGAGCGAACGGG
rnacentral:rRNA from 1 species